rnacentral:rRNA from 1 species
UUGAAAGGGAAACGAUUGAAGUCAGUCGUACCUAUGGAUAAUCAGCCUUUUGGGUGUNNNNUUGUGGAGCGUGAGGAGUUAAACGCCUUCAUGCCUGCAUAUUCGUGCACUUUGGGUGUACUUGCCCGUAUGGUUGGUUAACAUCAAUUUUGGUGGUCAUAAAAUGACUGGAGGAAUGUAGCUUCGAUCUCGUAUUGAAGUGUUAUAGCCUUCGGUAGAUGUGAUGAUCGAGAUUGAGGAUUGCAACGGAUACCCUUCGGGGCUACCUGUCUGAUCUCUGAUCGUUGCUCUGGUGCCGAAAGCUUGCUUACGGUUAUCAAAGUCGAUGGUCAAUAGGUUAGAACGGGUUAAAUUCGUUAAGGAUGUUGACGUA